ensembl:lncRNA
CAGAUGGUGAAGGUAGUGGACUAAGAUUAUGUAGGUAGUGGUCUUAGAUGGUGUAGGUAGUGGACUUAGAUGGUGUAGGUAGUGGACUAAGAUUAUGUAGGUAGUGGACAGAUGGUGUAGGUAGUGGUCUUAGAUGAUGUAGGUAGUGGUCUUAGAUGGUGUAGGUAGUGGACAGAUGGUGUAGGUAGUGGACAGAUGGUGUAGGUAGUGGACUUAGAUGGUGUAGGUAGUGGACAGAUGGUGAAGGUAGUGGACAGAUGGUGUAGGUAGUGGACAGAUGGUGUAGGUAGUGGUCUUAGAUGGUGUAGGUAGUGGUCUUAGAUGGUGUAGGUAGUGGACUUAGAUGGUGUAGGUA